UUACUUACCUGGCAGGGGAGAUACCAUGAUCAUGAAGAUGGUUUUCCCAGGGAAAGAUUUAUCUAUUACAUUCCAGAUGUGCUGACUCCUGCGAUUUCCUCAAAUGUGAGAAAUUCGGCUGCAUAAUUUGUGGUAGUGGAGGACUGUGUUAGUGCUCUACCCUGGA
ensembl:snRNA U1 U1 spliceosomal RNA